rnacentral:rRNA from 1 species
GACGAACGCUGGCGGCGUGCCUAAUACAUGCAAGUCGAACGAACCGCGACUAGGUGCUUGCACUUGGUCAAGGUGAGUGGCGAACGGGUGAGUAACACGUGGGUAACCUACCUCAUAGUGGGGGAUAACAGUCGGAAACGACUGCUAAUACCGCAUAGGACAUAGGAUCACAUGAUUCUGUGAGGAAAGGUGGCGCAAGCUAUCGCUAAGAGAUGGACCCGCGGUGCAUUAGCUAGUUGGUAGGGUAAAGGCCUACCAAGGCGAUGAUGCAUAGCCGACCUGAGAGGGUGAUCGGCCACAUUGGGGCUGAGACACGGCCCAAACUCCUACGGGAGGCAGCAGUAGGGAAUCUUCCGCAAUGGACGCAAGUCUGACGGAGCAACGCCGCGUGAGUGAAGAAGGUCUUCGGAUCGUAAAGCUCUGUUGUUAGAGAAGAACAGCGCAUAGAGUAACUGUUAUGCGUGUGACGGUAUCUAACCAGAAAGCCACGGCUAACUACGUG